rnacentral:rRNA from 1 species
CACGUAGGGCGCAAGCGUUGUCCGGAAUUAUUGGGCGUAAAGAGCGUGUAGGCGGCCAGGUAGGUCUGGUGUGAAAACUCGAGGCUUAACCUCGAGAUGUCAUCGGAAACCAUCUGGCUAGAGUCCGGAAGAGGAGAGUGGAAUUCCUGGUGUAGCGGUGAAAUGCGCAGAUAUCAGGAAGAACACCAAUGGCGAAAGCAGCUCUCUGGGACGGUACUGACGCUGAGACGCGAAAGCGUGGGGAGCGAACAGG